ACAGAAGCCCCAUCCCCACAGCCACAGGCACCAAGGCGAGAGAGAAAGAAAGAGCAGGGAGGCGGGCGAAGCGCAGGGAGAGAAGCAGAGAAGAAAUAUUCACCUUCCCGCCUCAUGCCCACUUUGAGGCACUUCUUGAGGCGGCAGUAUUGGCACUGGUUGCGGUGGUGCUGGUCGAUGGGACAGUUCCUGUUGGCACGGCAUGUGUGGCCAUGGAAUGGUGUAGCAGAUUGCUGCAGAUGGUUUCAAUAGUUCUGCUGAAUGCUCCUUGUUUGUGCCUGCAAGAGGAACUCAAGGCUUUAUGUAUGGCCAUUGCUGUGACCUAGUGUGAUGCUCUACUUUUCCACUGAACUCUGCUUGCUCUAACUGAGGACCUUAGCUAUAAUUUAGCCUUUUCUUUUUAUAUUAAGCUGUUGUUGAGGAAGGAGCUUUGGCAAUAGAAGAAACCAAGCAGCAGGUUAAUUUCCACUGUUGACACAACUGGAAACGGAUCCCUACUUUAUGCAUUGGAGAUGCUAUGAAGACUACUCUGUCUGAUGUUUCCCUAUUGGGAUAGUGAAGUAUGAUGCUUCAUUGGUUGAGUGUAUGCAAUCAAAGUAAGAGUGAAAAAGGAAGAUCUGAGGAGUGGGCAGAUGCCUGCCGGGUAAACUAUUUGUGGCAUAAACUUGAGGACCCCACAGGAAAGCCAGAUGUUGUCAUGUGCUUCUAACCACAAUUCUGCUAUUGAAUGGGGGAUUACUGGUCAGUGACUAGCCAAAAUGGUGAGCUUCAUGUGCUGAGAGAACUACCUAUCUCAAAAAAAUAAGGUGAAAGGGCUAGAGAGGUGGCAAAGUAGCACUGACUGAUCUCUCAGAGGAGAACGUGGAUUCAACUCCUAGCACCCACAUAGCAGCCAACAACCAUCUGUAACUCCAGUCUCAGGGGAUUUAGUGCCUUCUUAUAUCCUCAGUGAACACUGCACAUAUAUUGUGCAUAGACAUACAUUCAGUCAAACAAACACUCAGACACAUAAAAAUAAAUGAAAUCUCAAAAUAUUUUAAAAAGAUAAUGUGGAGGGUGAUUGAGGCCUUAUAUUAAUCUUUAGACUUUACAAAAUGAGUUUUACACACACACACACACAGAAAACACACAAACACACUAUAUGUACACACACAUAUAUACACUGACACACACACUUGAAAAAUUGUUAUUGCUUAAAAUUUUUUUGAUAACUUGUCUCAGAAUUUUUAUUAUUGAUUUUAUUAUAAUAUUAAUUUUUAGUCUACAGUAAAUCUUUAUGCUGGAACUAGACUUCAGGAUUAUUAUAAGAUAUAUUUAAUGUAUAAAUUUGAGUUCAUAAUUGUGAGAAUAAUUCUUUUAUGGUUGUGGUAAUAAAGUAUCAUUAUCUUCUUAGAUCUAAUGUAAGAUUCAAACUCUGACCCACUAACUUCCAAGUCCCUUCUUAAAAGUGCUGUAUUAAACUGCAUGAAGCU
ensembl:antisense